CGAACGCUGAAGCCUGUGAUGCUUGCACCGGGUGGAUGAGUGGCGAACGGGUGAGUAAUACGUGAGUGACCUGCCUUUGACUCUGGGAUAAGCCUGGGAAACUGGGUCUAAUACCGGAUGCGACUACUGCCCGCAUGGGCUGGUGGUGGAAAGGGUUAUGUACUGGUCUUAGAUGGGCUCACGGCCUAUCAGCUGGUUGGUGGGGUAAUGGCCUACCAAGGCGACGACGGGUAGCCGGCCUGAGAGGGUGACCGGCCACACUGGGACUGAGACACGGCCCAGACUCCUACGGGAGGCAGCAGUGGGGAAUAUUGCACAAUGGGCGCAAGCCUGAUGCAGCGACGCCGCGUGAGGGAUGACGGCCUUCGGGUUGUAAACCUCUUUCAGCAGGGAAGAAGCGGAAGUGACGGGUACCUGCAGAAGAAGCGCCGGGCUAACUACGUGCCAGCAGCCGCGGGUAAUACGUAGGGCGCAAGCGUUGUCCGGAAUUAUUGGGGCGUAAAGAGCUCGGUAGGCGGCUUGUCGCGUCUGCUGUGAAAGCCCGGGGCUUAACUCCGGGUGUGCAGUGGGUACGGGCAGGCUAGAGUGCAGUAGGGGAAACGGAAAUCCCUGGUGUAGCGGUGAAAUGCGCAGAUAUCAGGAGGAACACCGAUGGCGAAGGCAGGUUACUGGGGCUGUUACUGACGCUGAGGAGCGAAAGCAUGGGGAGCGAACAGGAUUAGAUACCCUGGUAGUCCAUGCCGUAAACGUUGGGCACUAGGUGUGGGGACAUUCCACGUUUUCCGCGCCGUAGCUAACGCAUUAAGUGCCCGCCUGGGGGAGUACGGCCGCAAGGCUAAAACUCAAAGGGAAUUGGACGGGG
rnacentral:rRNA from 1 species